rnacentral:rRNA from 1 species
UACGUAAGGACCGAGCGUUGUCCGGAAUCAUUGGGCGUAAAGGGUACGUAGGCGGGUUUUUAAGUUAGAAGUCAAAGGCUAUAGCCCAACUAUAGUAAGCUUCUAAAACUGAAUACCUUGAGAGAUGGAAGGGAAAGUGGAAUUCCUAGUGUAGCGGUGAAAUGCGCAGAUAUCAGGAGGAACACCGGUGGCGAAGGCGGGUCUCUGGGCAGUAACUGACGCUGAGGUACGAAAGCGUGGGUAGCAAACAGG